UCGAGAGUGAAGAGGAGAUCAUCUCAGAUUUGGAUGAUGUACCUGAUUGGACAUUCUUCCCUCGUAUUAUAUCAAAACCUGAUACAAAUGUUGUAGUGCCUGAAACUCACAAGUCGAGUGAGCCUCCUUGUGCAGCCCAGAAAGCAGCAGAAACAGAGGAGUCUGUAGUUCCCCUCUCACCUGAUGCUCCAGCAACUCAGUCCCUUGUAGGAGAUGGAAGUACUGGAGAUAUUCACGGUGCAUCAAGUGUCAACUCACCCGAACAUGACAACUCACCUGAACAAACAGAAGUUUCACCUGAACUGAACUCAGUUAACAGAUCCCCCCAGUGUUUGGAUUUACAGCAGUCUGAGGAAACUCCUCCAGAUAAUGAAAUAAGCUCAGAUGCAGCAUGUGAUGAUGGGUGUUGUGAUGCAACUGCCCAGCCUGAACCCUUAAAGUUUCAGACUGAUGGACUUCAAGAUGGUGAAACAUCCCUCCGUCGCUCUCAAAGAGUGCACACAAAGCCUAAUAGAUUAGAAUAUGUAAAACUUGGAAAUCCGCUGAUAAUGGUGGUGAAUUCUCUUUUCCAGGGUCUUAGUGAGGCAUUGACUAGCUCCCUGAAUGGUUUUGAGAAUGUACCCCAUAAUUCCGUCAGGCAUGUGCAAGCCGUGUGACACAGUGUCACAUUGCAGAUGCCCAGGGACGGGCAUACCCUUCAGAGGGGAGGGUGUAACCCACAUAAAAUGGGGAUGCCUCUUUAAGAAACGGAGGUUAGGGAAGCUAGGUGGUCUACCUAGCCAAUAGGAAGUUUAGUUUCCAGUGAGUUUAAACCAAUCAGAAUUCGGACUGCCGCUGCAGGACCCGCCCUUCCGCAGCACUGAGUGUGUAAGCGAGAGAGAUCCGGAAACGAUUAAGCUGGGCAGCGUGAGAGUCUCUGUUUUAAAACAGUUAUACAACUCUAAACAAACGCUUUCCCAGAUCAUCCGACUUCUAAGCUGGACGCGUGAAGUGAAAAAAAAAGAAAAGGAAAGACAAGUUCACUUUUUCUGCUGAACACCGUUAGAGCUGACUCGUUAGCUCUAACGGCCAACGGCUACUGGUUUAGCUCUAACGGCUACUAGGCUAACGUUUUAAGUUCAUCUUGUUCUCCGUUCAGCUGAAGUGCCUCACGGGUCCGGACUGAGAGCCACCAUAUUGUUGUCCCUAACGUGUCGCAUUGAGAUCGGUCAGGUUUUUUUGUUUAUGCUGGAUUGUUCCUGAGGUGGAUUCCUCCUGUGACUUUGAUGGCGAGCCUUCCCACCUGGACUUAGAAAGAACUGGAUUCCUGGAUUCCUUCUUUUCCGUUUGGAGUCCUGCUGCACCCCGCGGUGUGGUAGGCUGGUACCACUCACAUCUUCACACACAGUUGGUUAUGAAUGAGACCCCUGACUGACAUUUUUCUUUUUAUUGUUUAAUCCUGGAAUUUCUGAUCUCACCUUUUGGACUGGUUUUUAUUUGGUACUUCGUAACAAACUGCUGUGUAGGAAAUUCUCCUCAUGUGAAUGGUGUUGAGCUGAACCUAAUUGGAACUGGAAUUGAUUGAUCUGUUGCCUAUUACGAUUUAGAAUUCAGAUUACCAGGGUGCACCCAAAAGAUUCAAAACUGAGAACUAGCACUUGGCCAAGUAUUUGUAUUAUUUUUUUGUAUUUUAUUGUGUGUAAUUUUAUUUUCAUAAUUGUGUGUCUUGUAUAACUGUUUGUUAAUUUCAUGGUUUAUGUCACUAAAGCCAGUUGUUUUUUUUAAAUUCAUUUAACUGCC